CCAGACUCCUACGGGAGGCAGCAGUGAGGAAUAUUGGUCAAUGGGCUUACGCCUGAACCAGCCAAGUCGCGUGAGGGAAGACUGCCCUAUGGGUUGUAAACCUCUUUUGUCAGGGAGCAAUUGGCGCUACGUGUAGCGUUAUCGAGAGUACCUGAAGAAAAAGCAUCGGCUAACUCCGUGCCAGCAGCCGCGGUAAUACGGAGGAUGCGAGCGUUAUCCGGAAUUAUUGGGUGUAAAGGGUGCGUAGACGGGAAAACAAGUUAGUUGUGAAAUCCCUCGGCUUAACUGAGGAACUGCAACUAAAACUAUUUUUCUUGAGUGCAGGAGAGGUAAGUGGAAUUCCUAGUGUAGCGGUGAAAUGCGUAGAUAUUAGGAGGAACACCAGUGGCGAAGGCGACUUACUGGACUGUAACUGACGUUGAGGCACGAAAGUGUGGGGAGCAAACAGGAUUAGAUACCCGGGUAA
rnacentral:rRNA from 1 species